rnacentral:hammerhead_ribozyme from 1 species
GUACUGCUGAGGAGUCCCAUAAUAGGACGAAACAGCUGUCCAGUGC